rnacentral:rRNA from 1 species
CCUACGGGUGGCAGCAGUGGGGAAUAUUGCGCAAUGGGCGAAAGCCUGACGCAGCGACGCCGCGUGAGGGAUGAAGGUCUUCGGAUCGUAAACCUCUGUCAGCAGGGAAGAACGGUCACUGUGCUAAUCAGCAGUGAAUUGACGUUACCUGCAAAGGCAGCACCGGCUAACUCCGUGCCAGCAGCCGCGUUAAUACGGAGGGGGCGAGCGUUAAUCGGAAUUACUGGGCGUAAGGCGCUCGUAGGCGGUAUGUCAAGUCAAGGGUGAAAUCCCCGCGCUCAACGUGGGAACUGCCUUUGAAACUGGUAAACUGGAGUGUGUGAGAGGACAGUGGAAUUCCAGGUGUAGGAGUGAAAUCCGUAGAUAUCUGGAGGAACAUCAGUGGCGAAGGCGACUAUCUGGAACAUAACUGACGCUGAGGAGCGAAAGCGUGGGUAGCAAACAGGAUUAGAUACCCCGGUAGUC